GCCGGUAGUCGGCACGAGCGCACCCCAUUUUUAGUUGCCUCUUCAGUUGGGCACUCUAGGAAAACUGCCGGUGAUAAGCCGGAGGAAGGUGUGGAUGACGUCAAGUCCUCAUGGCCCUUACGGGUUGGGCUACACACGUGCUACAAUGGUGGUGACAAUGGGAUAAUCCCCAAAAGCCAUCUCAGUUCGGAUUGGGGUCUGCAACUCGACCCCAUGAAGUCGGAAUCGCUAGUAAUCGCGUAACAGCAUGACGCGGUGAAUACGUUCCCGGGCCUUGUACACAC
rnacentral:rRNA from 1 species